UUUUUUUUUUUUGCGACACCUGCAUCAUGUGGAAGUUCCCAAGCCAGGGAUAGAGCCUGUGCCACAGCAGUGACAACUCUGGAUCCGAAGCCACUGAGCCACCAGGGAACUCCUACGUUUUUAUGUAUGUAGCAUUUGUCUAUAUUUUAUUUUGUGCUAAAACACUGUUAGAUUGAAACAAAAAUUUUGGAAUACUAUUGUUUGUAACAAUGUAACUAGUGACUUUGCUGAAACAAAGAAAAGAGUGACAUAUUUUUAUGGGAUAAACGCAUAAUACUUUGUCUAUUGUUUAUAUCUUUGCCUUAUUACUCAUCCAGGCACCACCAGUCCAUAAACAGGAUAUCCCCAUGUGCAUAAUAAUAAUUAGAUUCCAUGGACUUUGAUGUUUGGCCAACUCUAAAUCAUACAAAAACCACAGCUUUACUCACAUUUAUUUUUUCACUUUUGUCAAUAUGAAGGUAUAAUUUUCAAGGUUCAGAGGAUAGAUUCUUUUUUUUAACCCAACUCUUUUGUUAACUUGAUCCAUAACUUUUAAGUAUUUAGACGUGGCUUACAGGCCUCUAUUGCUAGACUUUCCCUGGGCCUCAACUGUUAGCUGAAAGCCUGUUAUUUUCUUAAAAAUUUGUCUCUUGAUUUAGAAAAAUCUCACUUGUAGAAGAGAGUUGAUCUUCAUGAAUGGGGACAGUUGAAGGAGUACAGAUUCAAAUUUUUCUCCUUUUAGGCUCACUCUGGGGUAUGGACUCCCUGGGCUUGGAGCAGCCGAUAAAAUGUUUUGCACUGCUAGGCUGAUUUUUGUCUUUGAGCAAACCCACACAGUUGAAUAUUGUUAAGUUAAAUGUAAUGAUAACACUACUGCAGUCUAACGAAAAUACUGAAGGGAUGAAAUGCUUCAUAAUUAAUUCGUUCUUUUAUUAAAUUUAGUGGAUUGCUGCUUGGCUCUGAUUUUAGUAUUUUACCUUCACCUGUGUAGUGAUUCAUUCAACAGAACUUACUUGCUGGGCAUAGAGGACACAAAUACAAAUAAGAUGUUCCAUUUUCACUUUUGGCAAGAUGCUGGAAUAGGGACUAUGAAUGGGCCGUCGCUACAAAAUAACUAGUCAGGCCUUUUAAUAAAUUACAGUCUUUAUAGAAAAUAAGAGGAGACGUCCACACGGCCUUUCCUGUGUCAAAAACUGUAAAGCAUCUGAGAUUCUGCCCUGCUUUCAAGAUAACAAGGUGCCUGCCAGGUUCAUGGAUGCUGGCCGAGGACAUGAGACACAUGAGUCAGAGACAAUGCAUAUUAUCACUCACAACACAGCAAACAGCAGGAGCUUCAUGUUUUUAUAAGUUUUCUUGUCCUUCGAGCCUCAUGGGAUGGCAGAGCAGCCCAGGUCAAUGCAGUGGAUUUAUACUCUAGCCGAGGAAUGCUCAGAUUACAAAAACACCAUCUUUUAAAGGGAUCGCUAGCAAACUUGCUCAACUUUUUCCUAGAAGGAGAUAUUGUGUUUAUGACUCUAGAUAAAUCUGCCAAGUAAAACCGCACUAAAUAGAGAGAGCAUCUAUAUCUUCCAAGGAAAGGUAGUUCAGAACAAAACCCGUCAAUAGGAUGGUGUGACCUUGAGCAAUAAUACCUUCGAAGUUAGUGAGGAGGCAAUAACCCAGGGCUACCUACUUCGCAGGGCCAGCCUCAAGUCAUCACAGUAAAGUGAAUACUGCAACAAAGUGAGUCACACAUAGUGUUUGCUUUCCUAGGACAUAUAAAAUUAUGUUGAUCCUAUAGUGUAGUCUAUUAAAAGUGAAAUUGCAUUAUGUCUGAAGAAACAAUGCACAUACCUGAAUUAAAAGAGUUCACUUCUGAAAUCUGCUAACCAUCAACCGAUCCCUCAGCGACUCAUCAUCUUUUUGUUGGUGAAGGGUCCCGCCUCGACAUUGCUGGCUGCUGACUGAUCUGGGUUGUGCUUGCUGAAGGCUAAGGGGUCUGUGGCAGUUUCUUAAAAUAAGACCAUGAACGUCACCGCAUCAACUGCUGGCCCUUCCUUUGUGACUUAGCAGGAAAUGCUGUUUGAUCGCAUUUUGCAGCAGAACGUCUUUCAAAGUUGGAAUCCGUCCUCUCCAAUCUUGCCUCUGCUUUAUCAGCUAAGUUUAUGUCAUAUUCUAAAUCCUUUGUUGGCAACAAUCUUCACAACAUCUUCACGGAGCGAAGAGUCCAUUUCCAGAAACCCCCUUCUUUGCUCAUCCAUGACAAGGAACUCUUCAUCCGUUCCAGUUUUACCAUGAGAUCACACCAAUUCAGUCUCCUUUUUAGGCUCUUCUUCUGAGUCUAGUUCCCUGCCAUGUCCACCACAUGGGCAGCUACUUCCUCUACUGAAGGUAGUAGGUAGGUCUUGAACCCCCCAAAGGCCUCCACGAGGGUUGAAAUCACUUUCUUUCCAAUGCCUGUUAAUCUGGAUAUUUUGACCUCUUCCUAUGAAUUAUGGAUGUUCUUCAUGGCUCUGGAAUGGGGACUCCUUCCCAAAAGAUUUUCAAUUUAUUUUGCCCCCAACCCAUCAGAGGCAUCACUCUCUAUUAGCUAUGGCCUUUCAAAAUGUAUUUCUUAAGUAACGAAACUUGAAAACUAAAAUUGCUCCUGGAAGGCGUUCCCAUUGUGGCUCAGUGGGUUACAAACCUGACUAGUUAUUUCCUGAGGAUGCAGGUUUGACCCCUGGCCUUGCUCAGUGGUUCAGUGGGUUAAAGAUCUGGCAUUGCUGUGGCUGUGGCUGUGGUGUAGGCCAGCAGAUGCAGCUCCGACUCAACCCCUAGCCUGGGCACUUCCAUAUGCUGCAGGUGCAGUCCUAAAAAGCCAAAAAAAAAAAAAAAAAGAUAGCAGAGUGACAGGGAUCAAUAUGACAUGUAAAAUAAUGUCUGUCUAGGUGCUUAUAUCCUAUAGAGGUAGACAGAUUAAAAUAAAAAACAAAAGAAGGUUAUCCCAGCUAGCUAUACCUUCAAUGAAGGGGAAAAAAAUCAGAGUGUAAUUUAGGACAUCCAUGGAGGAGGUCGCGGUGGGAGGCCACUUUGGGCUCAGUGGCAGACAAUGAAACUUGAGCAUAACCAUAAGCGAGACAAGCCAGGCACACAGAAUAUCUGGGGGAAGCAUAUUCCAGGCAGUGGGAACCCCAAGAACAACAGAGGCGAGCGGAAGCCUGCCCCCUUUUAAGCAGCAGAAUGUGACUGAGUAACCCAGGGAAGAGUGUGAGGGUAGGACAGCAGGGGCCGGAUCCUGGAGGACCUCAGAGACUUCAAGAAAGAGCGUGCACAUCCUUUGCAGUACAGUGGGAAACCAGCGGAGGGUUUUUAAUUGGGGUGUUGGCAUUUUAAGAAGCCUUUCUUGCCUUAUGGGGAUUUAGCUCCUUGUUGGGGAACAGGAGCGUAGGCAAGACAUCGUUUUGAAAGUCUUCCAGGCAAGAGAUGAUCCUGGGCUCUGGUGGUGACAGCCAGAUUGGCGGAAUGACUGGAUGCAGGAUUUUAAAACCCAUUGUUCGGAAUUCCCAUCAUAGCGCAGCAGAAACGAACCCGACUAGGAAUUAUGAGGUUGUGGGUUCAAUCCCUGGCCUCGCUCAGUGGGUUAAGGAUCUGGCGUUGCCACGGGAUAUGGUAUGGCUCACAGAUGCAGUCUGCAUCCUGCGUUGCUGUGGCUGAGGCACAGGCCAGCAGCUGUGGCUCUGAUUUGACCCUGGGAAUCUCCAUAUGCUGCAGGUGCGGCCCUAAAAAGCAAAAAAAAACAACAAAAAAACAAAAACAAAAACAAAAACAAAGCCAUUAUUGGAUUAGAAAUCUAACACACCUUUCACAAGAACCCAUAUGACUUUAAAGUUUCCAAACUUAUCAUGGAGGUAGGACCUNNNNNNNNNNNNNNNNNNNNNNNNNNCCUACACUCAUGUGAUCUGAUGACUUAGACCUUCAUCCAUUCCUAGAACCUACCCAACACGUUCUUUUGGGCCAAACACUCCACCCUUGUCCUCGCACCACUGUCUUCUCAUCCUUCAGGACGACACACACAGCGCUUUCUCAGAGGUGGUCCCUAACGACCCUAGAUAAUGCCACAGUCCUCUCCUGCUCUCGUCUUUCCUUUCUUGUCCAUCCUACCGAGCAUCAAAAUGUCUAACUAUUUAAUUUAUCUGUUGACUUGUCUGUCUCUGUCCCUGGAAUGGAAACUUCUUGGCAGGGACUACAUCUUCCUUGUUCAUGGUUAUGUUCCAGCACAUAAAGUCCUGCAUCACCAGUCACAGUUAGCAGUUUGGAUGAUGAAAUAUGUGACAAAGCGUAUCCGAAGCCCUUUGCAUAUAUGAAUGUAAACCUCCUAACAACCCUAAGAGGUUGAAUCUAUUAUAAUUCACCUUUUAUGGCCGAGGGAAUUACAAAGAUUUGAAGGGAUGUGCUCCAGAUUCCACGACGAGUGAAAAAGUACAUCUGGGGAGUUCCCUGGUGGCACAGCAGGUUAGGGAUAUGGUGUGAUCACUGCUGUGGUGCAGGUUCGAUCCCUGGCCUGGGAACGUCUGCAUGCUACAGGUGCAGCCAAAAAAGAGGCAAUCUGGAUUCUUGACCAUGAUCUUAAUCUUCCUUCAAGAUAAUGGGUAAAUCAGUGAUGGUCAUACUUAAUCCUCACCUUCUCUCUAAAUGAUGCUUCCAGCAUAUUUUUAAACAAAGAUAACGGGAGUAGGGGGGUGGGGGGAGGCAGGAAGAAUGCGGCUCCCUCUACUUGUCAUCCUGUGUUUUCUAUAGAUCACGUGAUGUUUCAUGUUUCACUGAGUUCUGUUACAUCUAAGCUGCCAGGUUCACCGUCAAACUCAUCUCAAAUUCUCUGACCAAGUUAUUGAGCAAUUAAAAAAAUAAAAGCAACCUUAAAAAAUAUUUAUAACACAGUGUUCUCCGUUGCCCGUUGGUCACAGACUGAUUAAUAUGCACAGUCAUGACUGGGUGAGCCUAAGCCAGUUUUCCCCCAGGCUGUGGCCCCCGGCACCCAGCCCCGGGCUUGGUACACAGUGGGAACUUGAUACCUAUUUGUUCAAUGAAUAAUGAACACGGCAUAUGAAACCUAUUAGGUGAUUUUGGCCUUGGGUCUCAUUUGGGGAACUCACAUAAACUGCAUCCAACAGAGCGUCUGCUACCCACCUGGUCCUGGCUGGCAGAGAAGCUGUAGCACUGAAGCUUUUGGCAGGCAGGUAGGUUGGGGUGGUUCCUGUGUUAUCCUGCUGCCGGUCUAGCAACCCUGUGUUUCCUCUCUGACUCUCUGGUCACCCACCUUUGCUCAUUCCAUGCCUGUUUCCUGCUCAGCCUCUCCAGCCUGACUCACGGUGUGACCUACUUUCCAGGCUCUGCGUCUGGCUUCUGGUUCCCAGACUCUGACGGGCAUUCUCCUCCCUGGCACAGAACUCUCGUGGACAGAUAUCUGGGAAUAGCCCCACCUUGGCAUGGCCUGGGGGUAUCUUACUUUUCACCCCACCUUCAGCCUGAGCCUGCCCCACCUCAACCCAAAGGGGAAAAAAAAAAAAAUGAUGCACUGCCAGCCCUGAUGGGUCUCGUCUUAGGUUGGAAGGAUCUGUUUUCUUCCACUGCCAGAUUCAUCUUUGUUCUUAGAACUUUUUGGAUGCUUGAAUGCCUUGAUUUUUUUCUAUCUCUUUGGGUAAGCUUAAUUCUCCCUUUCUUUUCUUAUCUACAGUUUCAUCAAAAAUCUUGGCUGUUUCGAAUAUAUGUCCAGCCAGUCUGAAGACAAGCACUAAUACCUUCCUGCCUUUUGAAAAGCAAAACUCACUGGAAACACAAUGUCUCCGUGGUAAGAGCCAAAUACUCUGCUAGGCACAAAGCUCUGAGAAUCAAGGCAGCUUUUUAAGCUUUUCAAUGAGGAAACUAAGUGUAAACUGUGUAUACAGAAAAAAAAAAAAAAAAUGUCCUUUAAUGUUGACAGAAGUCACUUUCUGGAGCUUGUUCCUAUUGUAUUUCCAUGUCUUCAUCCUGCUAACUCUCCGAUGCCUUUUUUUUUUUCCUUCAAAAAGAUAACAUUCCCAGUACAGUGGUGUACAGUUAGGAAAAGUUUAUUUUGCGCGCUUCCAGCAUCAGCAUCAAAGUCAAUGGCAUUUUCUACCAAGGAACAUCAGCUCCGAAUUAUCUUUGUCUAGAUUAUCUAGUGUUUGUUUUUUCCAGAUUUUCUUCUCCAAAACUCAGCCUGUCACAAAACAUCUUCAGCUUCCAUUGGCUGCUGUAGCCUAGUUAAUUUUUUUUUUUCUCCAAGAGAAGGAAAAUUGACUCGGAGAUUAGCUUAACUAAAACACGGGGUAGGUUGCUCUAAAGAAAAGUGAAUUUCACUGGGUCACAAGAAAAAGAGAGGAAUAACUUUGGAGGCUCUAUUACUAUUAUAUUAUUGAUACUAUUGAUAUUAUUAUUAUUAUUACAACUACCAUCAUGAUUACUCCUAUUUGUAUUUGGCUCUGUGACCCUUUAAGACAGAUCUCACCUUUUCUCUUUCUGUAACAUCCAGCUGAGCCAAGCAUCGUUUUGGAACUCUUUUUUGAGUUAAUUCAGAAGCCAUAAUUUUCUCCGAAUGCUGAGAAAUUAUUUGGAAUGAGGCCAUUUCACAGCACUGCAAGGUUGGAAGAGCUCCUUCCAGUUUACCUCAUUCAACCACCAUCAGUUUUUCUGGUCUCCUAACGUUGCUGCCGAGAGGGUGGUCUGGCCCCUGAUGGAACGCUUUGGGAUGGUCUGGUCUCUGAAACACUAGGAGGGCCUCGCUUUGAUCAUCGUUCACCUCAUUCCUGAAGCCACUGUAAUUGCUCUGUGGUUGGGUGGCCGAACACUCCAAGGGGGUGUAGGUAAGACUUGGGACAGGCCAGCCAAAUCCACCUGCACACAUUCAAUUCGCUGUGGCUGGCAGGAGUCCAGCCUAGAUACCAUUCAUACGAACAGGAGUCUUUUUGAAUUCGAGUCUUAUCUCCAGAAGCCAGUGAGAACAUCCAUUGUUCUCCUGCUGCAAGUUAACAGCUCUGCAUACUUUAGAAGCAAUGAGCCUAAACAAAAAGGAAUUUUCUUCCAGUGGUUUGUGUUGGAGCCAGUAGGAGCUAUGGAGUGCAUGCCGGGUGCAGAAGGAUUGAACGGAUUUUAGAAAAAUCUGUGGCUUAUUACUUAUUGUGUUACCCUGAGCCCCUCAACCAUGCCAGUACUAACCUUUAGCUAGUGCUAACGGUUAGGCAAGGUAGGAUUUCUUUGCUUAACCAACAGCUCAAGCUUAAUAACUGCCAUGACAAAUAACUUUGCUCUAGUCUACUAAUUACUAAAAGGAAUGGCUAGCUGUCUCCUAUUUUCUUUUAAUCGCUCUGUUUCUCAUGUAAUUAACCUAUUAAACAGCUACGUUUACCUCUAACAGGAUGCGGUCAUUUGAGGAAUCAUGUCUUGAGGUGAAACAAAUCCUCCUUCAUUUCUUGCUGUGUUACAGCUCACUGGUCAGAAUUACAAAGAGGGGCAUUUACAAGUAAGAACACUGGAGUCCCUGUUGUGGCUCAGUGGGUUAAGAACCCAACCUAGUAUCCGUGAGGAUGCAGGUUCAAGCCCUGGCCCCGCUCCGUGGGUUAAGGAUCUGGUGGUGCCAUGAGCUGUGGUGUAGGUCUGAAGCUGUAGCUCUGACUCCACUCCCAGCUCCAGAACUUCCACAUGCCACAGGUGUGGCCCUAAAAAGAAAAAAAAAAGGGGGGGGGACUAAGAACACUGAUGACUGAUCAGCCACUGAAGCUGUCUUUGGGAAGACGGAAGUCUGGGAACUCCUAGCUACUCAGGGCAGAGUUUAAGUCUGGUGGUCUCUGAGCAGGACCACAGAAUCACAGGCUUUGCAGAAAGUUCGAUGCCGGGUGUGAACAGCAGCCUCAUGACUCAUUCAAGGGUGAGCUGGAAUGGGGUGAUCCAGGCAGAAGACUUUUCAAGAGAAGCAAAACUGUAGCCAAAUGACUAGCAGGGCCCAGGAGUGCUGGGGAAACCCAGCUGUCUGUUAGACUUCCCUUCCCCUGCCCCACCACCCUGAAAAAAAAAGGGCUUGUUUGUUCAAAAGGCUCCAGGCAGUGAGUUUACAUACAGGAUUGGACACAUCUGGAAGAUGCAAUUACUGGGCCUGCAAUUAGUAAGCUUGGUACCCACACACAUGGAGAAGGUGCAUCUCCUGUUCUUACACCUCUGGGAGAGUCUGGCCUUUAAACCUUAGGUCUUCUUUUGUCAUUUAGGAAAAUUGGUAACCAUUCAAUUGUUCAUUGGAAGUGAGUUCUCCUUGUGGGGAUGGAAUGCGGCUACCCGGGAGAUGAUUUCAUUCGAUCAGACCCAGAAGUCGCCAAGCCUCCCAAAGAUGAUUUCUUUAGACACAGAAUGUUCUAUGAGUCUGUGCUUUGACUGCAGAGCCCUAUCAGGUGAAUAAUUAUACUGUAACUGUGUUUCAGACAAUGCUAGUGACGAGCGAAGCAAUUUCUGUUUUGAAAUGUUACCUUAUGGGUGAAAGUCCACUGAUCAUCCUUCUGGAAGAUUAAAAGAAAACAGAACUCAGAAGUUUUUAUAUGUGUGUGUGUAUAAAUUCCACCAUUUAAUCUAUGUAGAAAUGAAUGUAAUUAUAUAAUUAUAGAUAUGCAAUUAUAGAAAUUUACAUACAUUUCAGAAAGUCUCCGUCUAGAUAAAUUUAGAUAAAUCUCAAUCUAGAUAUGCUUAUUAUUUGACUGCCUGGACUUGAAGGGGGAAACUUUUAUGAAAAAAAAAAAAAAAA
rnacentral:lncRNA from 1 species